rnacentral:lncRNA from 1 species
GCAUUUCACUCACGCGUGCGCCACAGGCUCUCCUUCGCGCUCGCCGCAGCUUCCGGUACCAGAGCCGAGCGCCGGAAGCGCAGGGUGUCGCGACUGGCUGUGGAGUGCGCUGCYGUCCAGCCUGUGGAGAACCCAAGUGAGACCCGUAGAGCCGCAGGCCUUAGAGACGCGAGGUUUACUGCUGAAGGUGCUGAGAAGCCGAUUGGGUAUCUGAGAGAGGAGUCAUCAACAUGGAUCCAAAACCUGAACACGAACCCGAAUCCAAAAGACUGAAGAUCACACCAUCAAUAAUGGUACCGACACAAGAGCUACCUUUAAACAUUCAGCCAAGCAAAGGAGGCAAGAAAAAGGAAGGAGCAACAAAAAGCACACUACGUGUAAAUCCCCCGACGUGGAGUCAGAUCCAGAACUUGGCAAGCAAAGCUCAGGGAGUGAUUGAGAAGCAGGGGGUCCCUGAGACACCAGCUACCAUGUUUAUGGCAAUGCUGGCUGUUCUAAGUUGUCAGUCAAAUGCAGUCUCGCCAAAUCCCAGUUCCAAUACCUCCAAGUAGACAUGCAUCGAUUGCAGUUAAAAAAUAAGAAAGGUGGAGAUGUGGAGAGCAGAUGAGCCCCUGGUUGAUGUCGGCUGAUCCUGUGGUGUUGGCAGAAGUCAAGUCUGGGAAACAUUCCUUGCCAAAAAGGCAAGGAUGCAGCAGGAUGUUCCAAGCAUUGCAACAGUAGGGUAACUGCAGAAAUAGUUCUACUUCUGUAACUUUUUAGUGUGCAGAGAAGACUCUUGGUAACUCACAAGACUUGAACAAUUUACAUUGCCCCUCUAGUUAAACUUCCUAAUUAUGAGACCCUUUAUAAUAAACUUGCAAAGCUAGUUCUGGGUCA